rnacentral:rRNA from 1 species
GCAGGGAAUCUUGCGCAAUGGGCGAAAGCCUGACGCAGCGACACCGCGUGGGGGAAGAAGGCCUUCGGGUUGUAAACCCCUUUUCUCGGGGAAGAGCAAGGACGGUACCCGAGGAAUAAGGUUCGGCUAACUACGUGCCAGCAGCCGCGGUAAUACGUAGGAACCGAGCGUUGUCCGGAUUUACUGGGCGUAAAGAGCGCGUAGGCGGUCCGAUAAGUCUCAUGUGAAAUCUCCCGGCUCAACUGGGAGGGGUCAUGGGAAACUGUCAGACUCGAGGGCAGCAGAGGAAAGCGGAAUUCCCGGAGUAGUGGUGAUAUGCGUAGAUACCGGGAGGAACACCAGAGGCGAAGGCGGCUUUCUAGACUGUGCCUGACGCUGAGGCGCGAAAGCGUGGGGAGCAAACCGG